CCCUUAGAUGUCCGGGGCUGCACGCGCGCUACACUGAAGGAAUCAGCGUGCUAAAACCAUUGUCGAAAGGCAUUGGUAAACCCAUUAAAAUCCUACGUGAUUGGGAUCGGGAAUUGCAAUUAUUUCCCUUGAACGAGGAAUUCCCAGUAAGUGUGGGUCAUAAGCUCGCGUUGAUUACGUCCCUGCCCUUGGUACACACCGCCCGUCGCUGCCCGGGACUGAGCCGUUUCGAGAAAAGCGGGGACUGCUGCUGUCGGGGCUUUCGGGCCUUGGCUUCGGUGGAAACCGCUUUAAUCGCAGUGGCUUGAACCGGGCAAAAGUCGUAACA
rnacentral:rRNA from 1 species